AGCGUUCUCACUCCCCCACAGCCACAAAUGCUGCAGAAUCCGGGUCUUCAAAUGACACACGUACCAGUCCCUGCAGCGUCAUCGCGCGUAUUCAGCACGCAUCUACGGGGACCUGAAUUAAACAAUUAGAACGGGAACAUUCGGAGAUGCCGUGCCCUUCGCAGGAGAACAACAGGAUGGGGAAGCCUUUCAGAGAAACAGAAUGCCAGGCUUGGUGUUUCCUCUGUGUAACAGACAGGGGUGCGCGGCAAAGACGAGAUGAAGUGGCUGAUAAAAACGAUGCGGUUUUUUUCCUGCACGUCCCCCUACGUGUUUACUUGGGACAUGUCACCGUGAGACACAACAUUCUUAAUGUCAUCUGAAUUCGGCUCCUGGACAGACGCCAGAGCUCCGAUGAAUAUAGGCCGGGCGCAUCAUAGCGCGGGACCGCGGCCCAGACCGGCAGAAGAAGGCAUGGGACGCCCGCUCCUCCUGCUGCUGAGGUCUCAGUGACAGGGGCUUAAAAUGGUCUUCCUCCUGUCUAUAUUUGACCUGACCUAUGAGACUGCAGAGUGGAGGGAAGAGUCCAGCCCCGCACCCCCUCCCCCACCCUAAAAGCCUGAGCAGAAAACCCACUUAGCUCAAUUAGAUUUGUUACUGACAGCAGUGAUGUACGACUGUGGACGGAGGAAAGAGCCAAGUUGUGUCUGAUUAAGGACACUUCAC